ensembl:lncRNA
AAAAAAAAAAAAAAAAAAAAAAGAAAAAAGAAAAAAAGAAAAAAAGAAAAAAAAAAGAAAAUAGAAAUAAAAAAGAGAAAAAAAAUGAAAAAAAGAAAAAAAAAAAGAAAAGAAAAAAACAGUAGAUGAAAAAAGAAAAAACAAAAGGAAAAACGAAUAAUGACAAGAGAAGAAAGGUAAAGAGAAAAGAAGAAAAAAGCCAAGUCAAAAAAGAAAAGAAAAAACAGUAGAUGAAAAAAGAAAAAACAAAAGGAAAAACGAAUAAUGACAAGAGAAGAAAGGUAAAGAGAAAAGAAGAAAAAAGCCAAGUCAAAAAGUAAAGAAUAACUCGAAGGAAGGAGUGGAU